GCUUCGCUGACGAGUGGCGGACGGGUGAGUAAUGUCUGGGAAACUGCCUGAUGGAGGGGGAUAACUACUGGAAACGGUAGCUAAUACCGCAUAACGUCGCAAGACCAAAGAGGGGGACCUUCGGGCCUCUUGCCAUCGGAUGUGCCCAGAUGGGAUUAGCUAGUAGGUGGGGUAACGGCUCACCUAGGCGACGAUCCCUAGCUGGUCUGAGAGGAUGACCAGCCACACUGGAACUGAGACACGGUCCAGACUCCUACGGGAGGCAGCGGUGGGGAAUAUUGCACAAUGGGCGCAAGCCUGAUGCAGCCAUGCCGCGUGUAUGAAGAAGGCCUUCGGGUUGUAAAAGUCUUUUCAACCGGGGAGGAAGGCGAUAAGGUUAAUAACCCUUGUCGAUUGACGUUCCCCGCAAAACAAGCACCGGCUUACUUCCGGGCCCACAGCCGGGGUAAUACGGAAGGGUGCAAGCCGUAAUCGGAA
rnacentral:rRNA from 1 species